rnacentral:tRNA from 1 species
GCGGCCGUAGUUCAGCCUGGUUCAGAAUGUCCCCCUGUCACGGGGAAGAUCACGGGUUCAAAUCCCGUCGGCCGCG